UCCGGGCGGCCGGCUGCUUAAAGGGGCAAUGCCGCGACGAAAGCGUUCGUGUGGGGCCCGCCAGGCGUCGCUGGCCGCCUCGUCUCCCGAGGGGACGUUUCUGACUGGGCUGCGGCUGUGCGAGCCGCGGAGCCCCAAGGCCUGAGCCUUCCUCAGAAGGCUGUGAGCAGCCCUGUUUCCUGCCCCUGGGGAAGGAAGUGGCGCUGAGGGGCAGGCUGACCGAAUGCUAGAAGUCUACUUCUCCUCCUACUGGUCUACAGGGGCUGGUGGGUCUACAAGUCCGAUUCUCCCAUCUUUUUAUUGCCUUUCACAUAUGAUAAUCACCAGAGCAACCCCGGAACACACCCCUUCUGUGGAGAAAGACGGCCAACAGGAUACUCAUCUACCCUUGUGAGCUGUGGGAUGUGCUAGUGUUUUG